CUCCUUCAUCUUCCUUCUUCCUUCUUCUCCAAUGGCUGCAGCACACUGACCAGUGACCAGGCGGUUUUGCAAGACUGCAACUCCUUCCCCGGCGACUUUGAAGAUUCCGGCGAAGCCAACACGCGCGGCCGCGCCCCCUCGCCGGGUGCUGGCUCCGCGCCUGCCUAAGGUGCAAUCCUACCUGAAGCAGCAGCUGUCCCAACCAGCCCAUUGAUAUUAUUUAUUAGCCUUAACUUUACCCAAAUUUUAUCCAUGUCUUUUGCCCUUUUCUCGAGUGAAUUUUCAUGUUUAUUGAAAUUCAACCACAUAUCAGCAGAGGUAUAUGCCAAUUGAUUGUGAAAUAUGUACCUAUUCUUGUUGAGAAUUCUUUUUUCCCUUAUUUUUGAUCUCAUUUUUACCGCUAUGUUUUCCCUCCUUUGUUUUUCGAUUUUCCUUCAAUAUUUGCC
rnacentral:lncRNA from 1 species